rnacentral:rRNA from 1 species
GAAUUUUGGACAAUGGGCGCAAGCCUGAUCCAGCCAUUCCGCGUGCAGGAUGAAGGCCUUCGGGUUGUAAACUGCUUUUGUACGGAACGAAACGGUCCUGGUUAAUACCCGGGGCUAAUGACGGUACCGUAAGAAUAAGCACCGGCUAACUACGUGCCAGCAGCCGCGGUAAUACGUAGGGUGCAAGCGUUAAUCGGAAUUACUGGGCGUAAAGCGUGCGCAGGUGGUGAUGUAAGACAGAUGUGAAAUCCCCGGGCUCAACCUGGGAACUGCAUUUGUGACUGCAUUGCUGGAGUGCGGCAGAGGGGGAUGGAAUUCCGCGUGUAGCAGUGAAAUGCGUAGAUAUGCGGAGGAACACCGAUGGCGAAGGCAAUCCCCUGGGCCUGCACUGACGCUCAUGCACGAAAGCGUGGGGAGCAAACAGGA